rnacentral:rRNA from 1 species
GACAGAGGGGGCAAGCGUUGCUCGGAAUUACUGGGCGUAAAGGGCGUGUAGGCGGGAUGGCAAGUCGGUCGUGAAAUCCUUCGGCUCAACCGAAGAACGUCGAUCGAUACUGCUGUUCUUGAGGGUUGCAGAGGAGACUGGAAUUCCCGGUGUAGCGGUGAAAUGUGUAGAUAUCGGGAGGAACACCAGUGGCGAAGGCGACUACCUGGCCUGUUCUUGACGCUGAGGCGCGAAAGCUAGGGGAGCAAACAGG